UAGGGUUAGUUAGUUGCUAUAGCAACUAACUAACCCUACUAAGGAGUUUGUAGCUAAUAGCAAGUGGUUAGGAAACUCCACGUCUACCCUUUCCAUCUAGUCCUGGCCAAUCGCCCUUAGUGGGUAACGGCCACUGCUCCGAGGACGAAGAAGAAGAACAUGCGACGUGCCCCUCGUGCUCACGUACCUCAUUGUUGCGUUGGUCAGUACCCCCAGCGUUUGUUCUUUCCUUUUAGUAUUCUGCUGUCCUCAACCAGUUCAGCGGUAACAGCGUUUACAGGUGGCAACCCUAUGUUCAGCAGUAACAGCGUUAUGUUCCACUUGUCACAAGAAGCGGUGACUCAGAAGGUGAAGCCCUCGCAGUGCUUGCGGAAGACACCCUUACCAGGAGGCAAUGACACCGGCCUCCUAUCAUGCUGCUCCGUCUCGGGCGACCUGGAAACGUUGGUGCUGGAUCGCUUGAGCGGCACCUGCAAGAGUGCGACCAUCUCCGCAGUUGCCCUCUGUCUAGGCUGUGCCGGCCACAUAUUUUUCAACAGUGCCGUACAGCACCAGGUAUAUCCGGACAGUCUCCAAGCGCCAUGUUGCGUCCGUCACAACGGGGCGAUGCAGUUAAUGUCUGCCAGACCUGACGGUCACCAACUUAGAGAAAGGCAGACACCAACCGCCAUCGUAUCCAGGUAUUCGAGGGGUGUACGGACAAUUCUUACGGGAGUUCGGCUCUUUCAGGUUCCACAGCAUCCUCGCGAGGAAUGACCUCAGACAAUCUGUGCCCACGGUGCCGAAGUGUGUUCCUCGUAAUGCGCAAUCGCAGCUAUUUUCGAAUCACGACUUAAGAUAAUCGCAAUAUCUGUUUGCAAUAUUGCGUCACGGAUAGUGUGUUAUAGCGACUGCAUUGUCCUUCAGUAUUUACAUGCGGAUAAUAAAGCGCUUCUGUAAUUGCA